rnacentral:rRNA from 1 species
GACGAACGCUGGCGGCGUGCUUAACACAUGCAAGUCGAACGGGCCUGUCUUCUUUUUUGGGGGGUGGGUUGAGUGGCGAACGGGUGAGUAUCACGUGAGUAACCUGCCCUUCGGUCCUGGAUAACCGCUUGAAAGGGCGGCUAAUACGGGGUGGUCCGGUUGGUCCGCAUGGGCUGGUCGGGAUAGAUUCACUGUUUUUGGUGUUUCGGCGGGGGAUGGGCUCGCGGCCUAUCAGCUUGUUGGUGGGGUGAUGGCCUACCAAGGCGGUGACGGGUAGCCGGGCUGAGGGGGUGGGCGGCCACACUGGGACUGAGGUCCGGCCCCGACUCCGGCGGGAGGCAGCGGUGGGGGGUAUUGCACAAUGGGCGGAAGCCUGAUGCAGCGACGUCGCGUGAGGGAGGGAGGCCUUCGGGUUGUGAACCUCUGUUUCCGGUGGUGAAGGCCCUGUCCGUGUGGUGGGGUUGACGGUAGCCGGGGAUGAAGCGCCGGCUAACUACGUG